rnacentral:rRNA from 1 species
GCAGCAACGCCGCGUGGAGGAUGACACUUUUCGGAGCGUAAACUCCUUUUGUUAGGGAAGAAUAAUGACGGUACCUAACGAAUAAGCACCGGCUAACUCCGUGCCAGCAGCCGCGGUAAUACGGAGGGUGCAAGCGUUACUCGGAAUCACUGGGCGUAAAGGACGCGUAGGCGGAUUAUCAAGUCUCUUGUGAAAUCUAACGGCUUAACCGUUAAACUGCUUGGGAAACUGAUAAUCUAGAGUAAGGGAGAGGCAGAUGGAAUUCUUGGUGUAGGGGUAAAAUCCGUAGAUAUCAAGAAGAAUACCUAUUGCGAAGGCGAUCUGCUGGAACUUAACUGACGCUAAUGCGUGAAAGCGUGGGGAGCAAACAGGAUUAGAUACCCUGGUAGUCCACGCCCUAAACGAUGUAUACCGGUUGUUGCUGUGCUAGUCACGGCAGUAAUCCACCUAACGGAUUAAGUAUACCGCCUGGGGAGUACGGUCGCAAGAUUAAAACUCAAAGGAAUAGACGGGGACCCGCACAAGCGGUGGAGCAUGUGGUUUAAUUCGAAGAUACGCGAAGAACCUUACCCGGACUUGAUAUCUAACAAAUCAUCCAGAGAUGGAAGAGUGUCUGCUUGCAGAAAUGUUAAGACAGGUGCUGCACGGCUGUCGUCAGCUCGUGUCGUGAGAUGUUGGGUUAAGUCCCGCAACGAGCGCAACCCACGUCAUUAGUUGCUAACGGUUCGGCCGAGCACUCUAAUGAGACUGCCUUCGUAAGGAGGAGGAAGGUGUGGACGACGUCAAGUCAUCAUGGCCCUUAUGUCCGGGGCGACACACGUGCUACAAUGGCAUAUACAAUAAGACGCAAUAUCGUAAGAUGGAGCAAAUCUAAAAAAUAUGUCCCAGUUCGGAUUGGAGUCUGCAACUCGACUCCAUGAAGCCGGAAUCGCUAGUAAUCGUAGAUCAGCCAUGCUACGGUGAAUACGUUCCCGGGUCUUGUACUCACCGCCCGUCACACCAUGGGAGUUGAUUUCACUCGAAGCCGGAAUACUAAAUUAGUUACCGUCCACAGUGGAAUCAGCGACUGGGGUGAAGUCGUAACAAGGUAACCGUAGGAGAACCUGCGGUUG